GUACACGCUGUGACUAGCAUAUCAAUAAGCGGAGGAAAAGAAACUAACUAGGAUUCCCUUAGUAAUGACGAGUGAAGCGGGAAGAUCUUACUCGCUUGCGCUAUUUUACCUACGCUUAGGAUGUUGACAGCAGUAUAGACUGUACACGCUGUGACUAGCAUAUCAAUAAGCGGAGGAAAAGAAACUAACAAGGAUUCCCCUAGUAACGGCGAGUGAAGCGGGAAGAGCUCAAAUUUGAAAUCUUAAAGGGUUUCCCUUUACGAAUUGUAGUUUAAAGAAGUGUUUUCUGUUGAGGUUUUGGUAAAAGUUCUUUGGAAUAGGACAUCAUAGAGGGUGAGAAUCCCGUAUUUGACCUUUACUUUCAACUUUGUGAUACACUUUCAAAGAGUCGGAUUGUUUGGGAAUGCAGUCCAGAAUGGGUGGUAAAUUUCAUCUAAAGCUAAAUAUUGGCGAGAGACCGAUAGCGAACAAGUACCGUGAGGGAAAGAUGAAAAGAACUUUGAAAAGAGAGUUAAACAGUACGUGAAAUUGUCAAAAGGGAAGCGUUUGACACCAGUGUUGUUUUUCUGAAAAUCAAUUAAAGAACUGUUUAUGCUAAGUUGUUUAGACUUUAUCAGCUAACUGUUUAGUUUUGAGCUUUUCUUUAAUGCACUUUUCAGUUAACAAGUCAACAUCAAUUACUUUUGCUGUAAAAAAGCUUGAGGAAGGUGGCUUGAGAUUCGUCUUAAGUGUUUAUAGCCUCUUGCCUAUGCAGUCGGAGAGAUUGAGGUCUGCAGCGUAGAUCCUUCGGGGCUAAAUGCAUUUGUGCUAAGUUAUAGCAUUUCAUAGACAACUUGUUGACUAUGAUUUGUCUUGUAGCUUACUCGCUUAUGUUAUUUUACCUACGCUUAGGAUGUUGACAGCAGUAUAGACUGU
rnacentral:rRNA from 1 species